UUUACUUCCUGCUGCCUUCUGGUCAAGAUGAAGCCAGUACCACAUCUGCCUGCACGCCACCGUGCUCCCCAUAAUGAUGAUAAUGUACUGAACCUCUGAAACUGUAAGGCCUUGGCAGACACUGAGCAGAUUUCAUUCUGUGUGCCAUAGGGAGCCCCUGAAUGUUCUCGAGCCUGUAUAAAUCAACACACAUAAAGAAACUCACAAUGCCCAUCAGUGUCGCUAUCACGGUGAGCCCUGGGGAUUGAACUCAGAUCCUCAGCUUGAUGGCAAGCACCUUCACCUGCUGAACCAUCUUCCCCCCCUGAGCUAAAUAUUUUGACACCGCAGCCCCCGGGGUUCAGAUCAGCAAGAAGGCUGCUGUACGAUCAGUGCAGAACAAGAGAGCUGCACCAUUGUCCCCAAGGAGGCGGAUAUAAACCAAAGAAGGAAAGAAGAAAACAAGCCCUUCAGUGUGACUGGACAUUUUAUCACAGCAAUAGAAACGAAUCUAAAACACUCUUCAAGGGUUUAUUCUCUACUCCACACAAGAUGAGGUAACAGGAGACCAUGGCCAGGGAAGCAACAUGAGGCUGGUCAAGGAACUCUUUAUGGCCAAGAGGACGUGCACAGGGCUUUCCAGAGUGAAGGUAAAGAAUAAAAGAAUGCUUCCCUGAAGGCAGCAUGCUUCUGAGCACCUUGCACAAACUCUGAGCAGUAUAUGGGGCACAGAAUGAAAAAUGAAGAGUUAAAUGAAAUCCCACAUAAUUGUGCCAGUAUUGUGCCAUGGAUGAUAUAAUUACAUAGACAAAUGUAUUUGGGUAGAAAGCUGAAAAAAUCCCAAGUGUCUAGAAUAGAGACCUUUGAGGUUACUAAUACGUGAACCUACAUGGUUACAACGGUGUAAAAUGUUUAAUUGGAUAAAUUACAUGAUUUCUAAGUUGUCAGGUCAUCUGUAUUUCUGUGGCUUUGCAGGUUAAUUGCUCGGUAAAUUCUGCAACAGUGUUUCCUCCUCUAACAAAGAUGAUGGGGGUCAUCUCCACGGCCUUUCUCUUACUUUCCCAGGGAAACUGGGGUGGGAUGACCCCUGAGCUGUGCUCACUCUAGAUUUUAGAAGAAGACUGAUGAGGGACCCAUCCAUCAGAGCCUGCUCUCCUACCUGCAGAGUCUAGGAAAUGGCUGCUGCCGCUGCUCUCCUUUCUUGGACAGUACCUAUGCUGGCCAUUCUGGCUUUGUGGCAAGGGUUGUGGAGUCUCGCUGUCCACUAACCUCAUGACCUUUCUGCAGAUACACUCACAGCUCCCGGCUGCACCUGCCUCUGUUCCAUCCAUUCAGCUAGUUUAUAAGGCCCUUGGAGAACAGGACUAUCUUUUUUGUCAAGGUAUGUCCAACAUCCUUGUUAGUAGACAGCCUUCCACAUCCUACAUCCUUCCCUGGUGCUCUUCACACAGCAAGCAUGCAUUGCGUGUAUACAAUAUGAAGUCUGCUCAUAUAUGUGCACGUCCCUUAUAUCAGAGCUGGGUACUCAUCCUAGUCCUAGGUGGUGAGAAUUCUUCCAGGAGUCUGGGUCCUGGAUGCUUCCUCUGGCCACCUCCAUUUUCAGGUGCCACCUGGAAACUCAGCCCCCUUCAUGAGAUCUCUCUCUUUGCUUCUUAUCUCCUCGUCUAUAUUUUAUUUGCUGCUGCACCUUGAAGGUGUAUCAGCAAUUCUCUUUCCCCAGGUCAUUGACAUACUUUUCAGAGAGGUGUUCCUGAUUGCCCAACAAAAUGCUCCUGCCCCUACAUCCUGUCCCUGGCCAAGUAAGAACAUCCCUGCCAAGUAAGGCUAGGAUGGGGCACAGUGGAGAAGGAGGAAGCCAUCUAUAUACUGGCCCAGGGAACAAAUGUAAAUCAAACCUGCCACCAGGAUGUCUUCUGGGGGUUAUAUGGGGCCCCUCCCAGCAAAUGGACGCCCCCAAAACAGCCUGUUUGAUGCCAGGGUUUUGUUGUUGGCACUUAAGUUCUGUUUCACACUGAGCUAAAGGUUUCCUCAUCACUUUAAAACAUUGUCACGCGUUAUUCCCUCAGUGUGAAUGAGUCUGUAGGCGCUUCAGGGUGAACCAGGAAGGUGGAAGAGGGGCAGAGGAAAGGGUGAUAAACAAAGACAUUCUGCUGGAGCAUUCCAGAAUGUGAGCCAGGUUGGGGGAACAGGUCUGAAGGUCUUGAGGUGGGCAUUCGUGAUGUCAGUGUGGCCUGGAGUGCAAAGGAGAAACUGAGCCACGGAGCUCAGACUGACAUGGUAGGCAUGGUAGGCAUGUCGGGGCCUGCCUUUGCUUAUGCUAAGUGAGCGACGGCAGGAUGAAGCAGCUGUAAGCGGUUUUUCAGGGUAACGAAGGGCACGUUGGUAUCUAGGCCAACCUGGAUGUGGUCACCUUGGCAACAUCUGUGAGACUCCAUGCAGGAUGAAGAGAAAAAUUCAGCUGCCCAGACUCCUGCCCACAAGAACGACACCAUGACACUAUGACACCAUAACCGUGAAUGCCCUGAGAACAUUGUUUACGUCCCAGGUGCUUUGCUAAGUACUUCCUGUGACUGGUGUGAUCGGUCCCACGGUUACUGAUAACGAGACGGAUACACUGCAAUCACACGUUGCCAUGGAUGUUUAUAUCACACACAUGCGAUGAAUACAGGGCCUCUUCUCCAUGUGACACACCGGAGCCUUUCAGAGCUGACAGUGACCCUCCAAGGCACUCUACCCAGCACAGCACAUGGGAUUAAUGGCUCUCUCAUGCUGUACG